rnacentral:tRNA from 1 species
AGAAAUAUGUCUGAUAAAAGAGUUACUUUGAUAGAGUAAAGAAUAGAGGUGUAAAUCCUCUUAUUUCUA